CGAAUGCACAGCGUCAUCCGUGACGUCAAACUCGUCUGUGAUCCGGCAACGUCAUCCUCGCGAUGGCGUGACGACCCAUCUAUCCGCUGCCAUCACCAUGGCAGCAUCACC
rnacentral:ncRNA from 1 species